rnacentral:tRNA from 1 species
GGGGUUGUGGCUCAGCGGUAGAGCGCUCCCUUCGCACCUUCGUGACCCUGGGUUCGAUCCUCAGCACCACCU